rnacentral:rRNA from 1 species
UGGGGAAUUUUGGACAAUGGGCGAAAGCCUGAUCCAGCAAUGCCGCGUGUGUGAAGAAGGCCUUCGGGUUGUAAAGCACUUUUGUCCGGAAAGAAAUCCUCUGGGUUAAUACCUCGGGGGGAUGACGGUACCGGAAGAAUAAGCACCGGCUAACUACGUGCCAGCAGCCGCGGUAAUACGUAGGGUGCAAGCGUUAAUCGGAAUUACUGGGCGUAAAGCGUGCGCAGGCGGUUUUGUAAGACGGAUGUGAAAUCCCCGGGCUUAACCUGGGAACUGCAUUCGUGACUGCAAGGCUAGAGUAUGGCAGAGGGGGGUAGAAUUCCACGUGUAGCAGUGAAAUGCGUAGAGAUGUGGAGGAAUACCGAUGGCGAAGGCAGCCCCCUGGGCCAAAUACUGACGCUCAUGCACGAAAGCGUGGGGAGCAAAACAGGAUUAGAUACCCUGGUAGUCCACGCCCUAAAACGAUGUCAACUAGUUGUUGGGGGAUUCAUUUCCUUAGUAACGUAGCUAACGCGUGAAGUUGACCGCCUGGGGGAGUACGGUCGC